rnacentral:lncRNA from 1 species
GAGAAAUGAGGUUUUGGGGAUAAGAUUUCAAAUUUUGAAAAAUAAAAAUAUUAAAAUUUUCAAAGGAUAAACUUAGAAAUGUGCUAUUUUGGUCAUUUUAGUUUUUGAGUGUUAUUUUUGUGAUAUAAACUUAGAAAUAUGCUAUUUUGGAGAUUUGCCAUAUUUUAUUACGCCAACUUAUUUUCAUGGAGGUGUUGAUCGACUUCCCAUGCAAACUAUAAAGAAUGUACAAGUACAUAUACAUGAAAGAAUUACUCGUUGCUAGCAUUGUUCUCAUCCUCUAAAUACAUGGAAGAAUUAC